rnacentral:lncRNA from 1 species
GGCGACGUAGGGAGGUGGCAGUUGAAAUAAUGGGAAUCCUGCCAACAGGUAUUAGCAAUUAGCAAUAUCAGGGCUAUUUACACAACUCCUUCCCAACAUUCUGUCAUCAGAGUAAUUAUUUCCCUUUUUGAUCUGCAUUUUGUCUGGUUGUGACAUACAUACUUUUCCAUGGCAGCUUUAUGGUUCAUUAGAAAAAAGUAGUUCACUUGAAAAGCUCACAAUGUACCAUUUGUUGCAUGUCCCUGUAGUGUUCUCCCCUGCUGUCCCCCCAACACCCCCAGAAAUGGCCCUAACACACUGGUCCACAAAACUCCCUCAGUAAAUAACACAGUUUCUGCUUGGCGUAACCCAAAACAAUGGUAUUUCUGGGACCAGUGUUGUUUAUUCCAAAGCUCUAAGAGCAACAACUGAAAUCUAAAUGGGGCCAAAAGGAUCAUGCUUUCUCAGUUCUGGGAAACCUGCUCCCCCAGGUGGAAUGCUUAUAAAGCAGCUGAUUCUGAGUCAAACAUUCCUUCCAUUUUUUAAAAAAGCCUAAUUAGUAGUUAUAGUCCAAGGGUGCCUUUCUUCUACAAGGUGUUGAGGCUCUGCUUUUCCUCCCAGUAUUAUGCUUUGCAUACCAAGCCAACUACCCCUUCUUGGCAGGCCAAUGCGCCCGGCAGAAUAUUGACUUUGGCACCAGCUUCCCGGUAUGAGAGCAGAAGUGUGGGAGCAGAGCUUUGUCAGGAAUCUACUGAGCUGCUGUUUCCUUCCCAGCAGGUCCUAACUGCUUUAGAUGAGUCCCAGCUAAGACAUCCAAAUUACUAACUGCUUAUGAUGGCCUUCUCAAGAAAUGGGCUAUUUGAAAGAGACAUCAAAG